UCGAGCGCUCGCCGCUGGGCGCUGCCGUGCUGCCCGCCUGUGCAGUGCGCACGGCCGCACGGGGUCAGGGGCCAAGGGCCAAGGCCGGCAGGCCCAGGGAGGUAGGCAGGGGAGCGACAGAGGCACAGAGCCAUAUACAGGAGAUCAUAGAGCUUUGCAAAUUGCAAAAUGAAGAAGAAGAAGCCGAUUGAUUUGAGAACUUUGUGGGAAAGAAAGGCAAAGGCACAGAAGGUGGGCUCGACAUCAACACCACAGCCAGUUACGAAUGAGAGUGAAGCUCAUAAUCCAGAUGCUCCUGUUGUUGAGGCAGUCACAAUUGAAAGUCAUGUUCAGAUUCGAAAUCGAAGUACUCCUUCUGUUGAGCCUGACAUAGCAACCAAUGAGAUAGAAAGAGAGGUAACAGAACUAGAUAUUGCUAGCAAUGACCCUACAAUAGCAAGCACAACAAUGACAGAGCACCAUGGAGAACCUUUAUCUUGGUUCCCAAUCAGAGAUGGUGAUAACUCAGAUAAUGAACCAUGGAGCUACUCUUUCAAGCCAUGAAGGAACAGAAACAUAAAGUUAGAGUUAAUUUGUAAUUUUUUUAUGUAUUUUGUAAGAACUUCCCUAAUUCCCUUUGUUUCAUGGACAUGUUAGAGUUGAACAGCUUUGUACCUUUGUUUGAUCGAACACAUAUUAUGCCUUUUACUGUUUAUGUGGACUUUUUUA